CAGCAGCCGCGGUAAUACGAAGGGUGCAAGCGUUAAUCGGAAUUACUGGGCGUAAAGCGUGCGUAGGCGGUGAGUUAAGUCUGCUGUGAAAUCCCCGGGCUCAACCUGGGAAUGGCAGUGGAUACUGGCUCGCUAGAGUGUGUCAGAGGAUGGUGGAAUUCCCGGUGUAGCGGUGAAAUGCGUAGAGAUCGGGAGGAACAUCAGUGGCGAAGGCGGCCAUCUGGGCCAACACUGACACUGAGGCGCGAAAGCGUGGGGAGCAAACAGGAUUAGAUACCCCAGUAGUCCCUGUCUCUUAUAU
rnacentral:rRNA from 1 species